CCACUCAGUGACCUUUUGACGUCAGAGAGCCCAAACUGCCUUCCAUCCAUCAUGCUAACUGCUAUUUCCUGAGCAUGUACCUGUGUCCCAUGGAGAGGUUUGUAACUUAGUUGCAUCUGUGCAGGAUGGUGAUCAUCUCAACUUUCUCUUGUUUCCAAUUACCCUUCUCCAUGCUGACCACACCUCAGCUUUAUCCCAUAAGUCCCCGGGCUGGUGCUUCAGGCCAGUGAGCUCCUUGCUUGGCUCUUCUUGGGUGCAAACCUCAGUCUCUCUGCGUUUGGCCAGCCUGUGAAGUGGGGGAAACGUUGGUGAAGUCUUCUGGUCACAAGAAGAUGCCUUCAACUUCCGGCUUCAUCAGUAAUGGUAUAAAUCAAGUGUUUUGAAACAAGAACUGUGGAAGAGCUGCCAAAGUCUUCCCUGCCUCAUUUGCUAGCACCCUAUUCAUGGCUUCCCAGAAGAAGAUGAGAGAGAUUCAUUAUAACUCUGAUUCAGUGAGGAGAGGAAUCUGAAGGCUGGUCCUGGGGAAAUUUUUCUGUGCCUUGAGUAGAUGCAUCAGAUCGGGAGUCCUUGGUGCUCAAGUAAAGAUCUAAAACAACUCGUGUACCUGUUGUGAUGGACGUACAGUGAUACCUUGAAGAGAGUUUUUUACCAGGGUCACAUUAUUGCCUGGGUCUAGCCUCAGCCAGCUGGGAAUGAUCACAGAAGGAAAGAGGAGGAAGAGUCCUUUAGAGAUGUCACAGAUCAGCUCUAUUAAAAUCUCUGUGUGCAUCAAUUGCUUAUGGAGCAGUUGUCUGGCUGUAUUUUCCCUGUUAAUUGUAUGCAUUCCUUUCUAACUUGUACUUUAGUGAGCUCUCUCUCUCCCUUGCUAAAGUUUUGAUAAAUUUUACCCCCAAGCACCUAGCAGUAUACUGAUGACUGUCUCUCAAAACAAUUUUAUUGAAAAAAAGAAGAAAUGAAUAAAUGAAAUAAUGAAGAUAAUACAUGCUACCCUAGCACCUUGAAAUUCCUCCUCCACCAUCACACCUAUAUGUAUAGAUCAAAUAUAGCUCAGUGUGUCCUGAACUAGUCUUCAAGACGUGUGUGUUCUUUUUUGAAAAAUGUCCUUUCCUGAAUUUUCACUGUUUCAUUUCUUGUUUUAUAGAGGAAGAGUUGGAGAUAGAUAGGAAUGUAUUUAUAAGGCAGCAAAUACCAAAAAUAUGUAAGAUGUAUUCAUAUUCUCAUUGUUUUAAAAAACAAACAAAAAUAUUCUAGUGUCUUGGCAUUCAUGAGAGCAGUUCCCUUGGAAUAAUUAGAUGUGAUUUUCCUAAAGCUUUUUCUUUAGCCAUUUAUCUCCACGAUUUCCUACUCCAUCUUUUUUGAAUUAAACUCAGCACAUUGUUUUUCUUAACUAAAAGGUCAGGCUUUCGAUCUGAUUAUUUCAGUGGAAUUAUCAGCCAAUGACAUCUCUAUUUUUCUACAAAUAUUGAUUUUUCUAAUUUUCUUUUCUCUAAAUAUAUCUCAAAGAGAAUAACUUUUAAGGUAGUCUUUCUCUUAAUACCAGGAUUGCAUUUGAUAACUUUAAGGUAUAUGGGGAAGAUGUUCAUAUGCUACAUGUUUAUAUGCUACAUGCUUAUAUGUUACAUGUUUAUAUGGGGAAGAUGUAGCUAAUUCACUUUUUGUCUGCUAUCUACAAGUGAAGUUCUUUGAAUGCUUACACAGUAAAAAAUGUUUAUGACGUGUACUCUCAAAAUAUAUUAUGGUGUAUUAUAGGUUUCUUAAAGAUUUUUAAAACUAAAGGAGACUCAGAGGCUAUUUCUGCAUAUUUUCAAAUAUCUGGUUAUGGAACAAAGACUUUACUUAGUAGGUUUUAAAAAAAUAUUUGCCAAUUUAAUCGGGAGGGAAUCUGAAAUUUCCACCAACUUACCAUAUAAUUUUAAGAUUCCCUAAUUGGUGCUUCAUAGUUGAAGCACCCUUGGUAUGUUUCAAGAGACAGCAGUUUUUUUGAAUGUUAGUAGGUGUUACUCAAAGAGGUGACUGUGGUCAAAAAAACAAACAAACAAAAAAACUUUAGGCAGGACAAAACUAAAUGGGCUUUUUACUUAAGGAAGUAUCAGAAACUGUAACAGGCUCCUGUGCUCUGUUUCUCCUAGAGGGACAUAAAAUUCACAGAUGUUCCCAGGUAUUUGACAUUAAAGAACACGCUUUCUUCACAGAGAAAUUUUGUGGAAUUACCUUCUUCAAGACACGUUUUAUGAUUAACGUAGACUAAACAGUUGAGAUGGACAAAGUGAAUUGUUGAUUAAAAAAAAAUUUCAAAAUAAUAAGAUCAACUGAUGUUUCUUAUCUUCUUUUAACCUUUUAAGCAUCAUAUGGAUAACUGACACACACUCUUCCUAAGCAGCCAUGGGCAGACAGCCACUUACUUCCCUGAGUCUCACAGAGGUUCUAAAUCAAUUUGCAAUUUGUUGCUGCCUUCAUUUCUUAGUAGAGUCAAUAGUGGGCAAGAAAUCCAUCUCUUAAAACACUGGGCACUGUUGACAAUAUCAGGAGAGACUUUCUUACUGGGCUAGUGUUCAGGAGGGUGGAAUGUAGAAUACUGGGAUAUUUGUGGAAUAAAGACUUCCUAAAUAAACUCUAAAUUAUAUAAGCAUCUCUCAAGCGUGGGUGCUGUGUCAGUGCUGUGUGAAGUAGGUAGAAAUGUAGAUGGUGAGCCCUCUUCUUUAUCAACCUUCAUAUGAGCCUUACUGUUCUUUAAGGAAAUUCUGAUUUUAUGUUCUUUUACUGUGUUGAUUUCCUUAACCAUCUUCUCUGUCCUUUAUCAGUAUUCUCUUUGUGUUAGUUAAUUUAAAAGGAAGCAGACAUUAGGAGUGCAGGAGAAUAAGAAUUCUGUUCUAAACAUUCAAACAUGAGUGCUCCACUAGAUGUUAAAAUGGAGAUGUUAAAAAGCUUUUGGACUGAGAUAUCUAGGGUUGAAGUACAAUUUGGGGCUGGCCAUAUACACUUUGGAGCCACCCAGCAUAAAGAUGGUGUUUAAAGCAUGCGAUGAGUGGAAUAACCUAAAUAUAUAGUGGGGAUAGGGCAGAGGAGAGGCUCAAAGACUGAUCCUUGAGGGUAAACCAGAUUCAGAGAUCACAAGGAGGAAGACAAUGGAUCAAAAGAGGCAGAGAGAAGUGACCAGGAUUUUGGAAGGAAAAACUAAUAUGCUAUGGGAAACCAAAUGGAGACCGUGUUUCAGGAAGGAAGAAAAAUGUCAUGUCAAAUGCUCUGGAGUCAAGUAAGAUGAUGUCUAAGAAUGUUCUAUUGGAUUUGACAAUGCUGGGGUCAUUGGGGACAUUGAGGAAAGCAGUUUCCAUGAAGCAGGGUGUCCUCUUUAUAUUGCUAGCUGUGGACAAUAUAUAAACUGGUUUUCCAAGGGGGUCAGUGUAUUGGCUUCAGCCAAAGAUUGGCCCCUUAUUUUGUAUAAAUGUCUUUGGAUCAAAUGCUACUUGUUUAGUCCAUGUAAACAUUUUGUUCCUUGUUUGGUGACUGCCGGUAGAUUGACUAGAGAUAAAAGGAAUUAAUUUUGUGGCUAGUUUUCUUUUUUUUUUUCUCUUCUCUGUAAUCUUUUGAUUUAAACUUAGUUCAUGUACCCAGAGGGUAUGAUGGAUGUGUGAUGAAAAGCUGUAAAGUAAACAUUUGAAAUGAAA